CCGCCUGGGGAGUACGGCCGCAAGGUUAAAACUCAAAUGAAUUGACGGGGGCCCGCACAAGCGGUGGAGCAUGUGGUUUAAUUCGAUGCAACGCGAAGAACCUUACCUGGUCUUGACAUCCACAGAAGAAUCCAGAGAUGGAUUUGUGCCUUCGGGAACUGUGAGACAGGUGCUGCAUGGCUGUCGUCAGCUCGUGUUGUGAAAUGUUGGGUUAAGUCCCGCAACGAGCGCAACCCUUAUCCUUUGUUGCCAGCGAU
rnacentral:rRNA from 2 species